rnacentral:rRNA from 1 species
CUAAUACCGCAUGUGGCGCGGUGGAGCAUUCCGCCAGCGCUAAAGGAUUUAUUCGCUGAAGGAUGGGUCUGCGGCCUAUCAGCUAGUUGGUGUGGUAACGGCGCACCAAGGCGACGACGGGUAGCGGGUCUGAGAGGAUGAUCCGCCGGAUGGGGACUGAGACACAGCCCCAACUCCUUCGGGAGGCAGCAAUGAGGAAUCUUGCGCAAUGGGGGCAACCCUGACGCAGCGACGCCGCGUGGGUGAGGAAGUUCUUCGGAAUGUAAAGCCCUUUUGUCGAGGACGAAAUUGACGGUACUCGGCGAAUAAGCCCCGGCUAACUACGUGCCAGCAGCCGCGGUAAUACGUAGGGGGCAAGCGUUGUCCGGAUUUACUGGGCGUAAAGAGCGCGUAGGCGGAAGUGUAAGCGGUGCUUGAAAGCCCCCGGCUCAACCGGGGAGGGUGGUGCCGAACUGCGCUUCUUGAGGGCGAUAGAGGAGAGUGGAAUUCCGGGUGUAGCGGUGAAAUGCGUAGGGAUCCGGAGGAACACCAGUGGCGCAGGCGGCUCUCUGGGUCGGCCCUGACGCUGAGGCGCGAAAGCGUGGGGAGCGAACG